rnacentral:rRNA from 1 species
AGGAGAGUUUGAUCCUGGCUCAGAGUGAACGCUGGCGGCGUGCUUAACACAUGCAAGUCGAACGAGAACGGGCUAUAGCUUGCUAUAGUUGUCAGCUAAGUGGCGCACGGGUGAGUAAUAUAUAGGUAAUGUGCCCUAGAGAGGGGGAUAACAUUUGGAAACGAAUGCUAACACCCCAUAUGCCCUUAAGACAUAAGUCUGCAGGGGAAAUAUUUAUAGCUCUAGGAUCGGCCUGUACGGUAUCAGCUUGUUGGUGAGGUAAUGGCUCACCAAGGCUAUGACGCCUAACUGGUUUGAGAGGAUGAUCAGUCACACUGGAACUGAGACACGGUCCAGACUCCUACGGGAGGCAGCAGUGGGGAAUAUUGCACAAUGGGGGAAACCCUGAUGCAGCAACGCCGCGUGGAGGAUGACACAUUUCGGUGCGUAAACUCCUUUUAUAUAGGAAGAUAAUGACGGUACUAUAUGAAUAAGCGCCGGCUAACUCCGUGCCAGCAGCCGCGGUAAUACGGAGGGCGCAAGCGUUACUCGGAAUCACUGGGCGUAAAGAGCGUGUAGGCGGGUUAAUAAGUUUGAAGUGAAAUCCUAUGGCUCAACCAUAGAACUGCUUUGAAAACUGUUAACCUAGAAUAUGGGAGAGG